rnacentral:ncRNA from 1 species
GACCGAUAAAGGCAAACUCCGAGAAAUCGGAGGACGCAAAGCCCCCCGCAAGGGGCUCCGCUGGUCGCGGAGACGGGACUUAACCUCGAGAGAGGAAAGUCGGCCGGGUUGCCGAA